GACAACCAGUCGCGAGCUUGUGAGCUGGAGCUAAGGCAUUGCAGAAAACUGUCAGAAUGUGAGUCAUCUCACUACACCUUGACAAGUUGAAACCGACAAAUUCUUUAAUCAACUAUGAUCUCGGGAAUUGGACCAAACACACAAGCCAGUAUGCGUCUGGAAUUUGUUGUUUUGGGGAGCCGAAUCCUAACAACUUAUUUGGAAUCAUUCAAGACCCUCUCCAGUGUGGUUGUUCACCACAUCCCCCACCAGUUCUCUGAAGAAAUGAUCCAGCCAUCCACUCAUUACCCACUUGGACUUCUACUCAAGGAUGAAACCAAAACUUCUGACUUGGUGGAUGUGCUCCAGCACCUUCAAAAAGAGUAUGUUCCAAGAUGUCCUGAUGGGCUUGAGAAGAUUUUGAUCGGUGGUGAUAGGCUCACAGAGGGAAAUUGCCGGAAUAUCCAGUUGGCGUUUGCUGAUGGGGAGACCGAGGAGGACCGCCUGGAAGGCCUCGUUUUCAAAUUCGAAGACUGGCACGCAAUUCGAAAUCUCUAAGAGAUAUAUCAUCAGAUCUUCUUUAAUGAAGCUUCUGCCAAAGACCAUGGCACAAUCCUCGCCAACAUGAAUCUCUUGAGGGAGUCUUCCCCUAAAAAUGGUCUUCGCCAACCAUGACGUUGGCGUGGAUGUAUGAACUGUGUGCAUGUUUCCAAGAGAGCCCAGCCACCAUGAAUUUGGCUACUUUUCGUUGAUGCUUUAUGUAAAAAAGGUGUUAUUGGUAGGGAUGCACCGAUACCAGUAUCGGGCGCGGUACGAAGCUCAUGUACUUGUACUCGUUAUAAUACCCCCGAUACCAAAGACCAAUACCUCCCGUGAAGUAACUGACAGAAUUUGUGAUAAGCACAUAAAAAUAAUACUUUUUUCAUUUGUGUAACAAAUAAGCUGUGCUACAUUCUUUAGUCUCACUGUGUUGCGCUUGGAAAACUGCCACAUCACCAAAAAAAACGGAAUCAAUAAAUGUAGGUAUCGUUAUCUAUAUCGGCAAUUACCUUUAAAAAAAAUAUCGGUACUCGUACUCGGUCCUUAAAAAAUUGUAUCGUUGCAUCCCGAGUUAUUGGUACUAUUAACAAAAACAUGCUGUCAUGAAUUUAAAAACUAUGAAUUAAAUUUAACAAGCAGAUUUUUCAUACGCCUUUUUAAUAACUGCUAUGUGAUUUGCAGGUGCAGCAAUGUGAAAAAAGGCCCAAAUGCUGCAUACAACGCUUACAAACAGUUUGUGCAGAUUGACACCACAGCACUUUUCCUUGCAGCAGCAAUGGAACAUUUCCAUUUGGAUGAUGUUGCAGGUUUGUAUUUGUUACAUUGUAUUUAAAGGAGUACAUCAAGGAAUCAGAAGGAUGCAGAACAGAAGAGGACCUGGCUCCAUGACUCUGUGGCAGAGGUCGUUGACAGGUUUUUGAUGUCUACAGACAUUUCUGGACUGUCAGCUGGUGUUACUGAAGCAGCAAGGGCACAACGCACUGAGAAGGAGAUGCUCCCUUGUCGUGAGCCAGGUUGCACCAAAGGGUUCAUUUAUAAAAAGGCCAGAGAGACCCACGAGAAGAAAGUCCACAAUCUUGUGGUGGCAGCUAUGCCAGUUGUUGAGCCUGCUUCUUCUGGCUCGAAUGACUACAAAAAAGAUCAUACUGAGGCUUAGCUUUGGAUUUCUGAUCUUUGAUAUGUUGGAUGCGGUGAAAGAGGGAGAUGGGGAGCACUUGAUAAGGCUGUACAAGGUGGCACUACUGAUUUACAAGGCUUACGGGCACACUCAAUAUGCCUACAGCACUUUCCUCUUAACAGUACAAAUCAAUGCAACACUGUCCCCUCGGGUUGCACAUGAUGUAACCUGGAACCGAUUCUGGAAUAGCAGGGGUGGGAAAGGGAAUAAUAUACCUCUUGAUCUGCACCUCGAGCACCUCAACAACUUUCUGAAAUCCUUUUUGAAGAACAAAGGCACUAACCUUACUGAGUAAACAGCUGACAGGGUCAGCAGAUCUGUUGGUGUCUUAAAAACCCUGAUGGACACAACAGACAGAGAGCUGCAGCUAUCCAAGCCUAGUGGCAUCCACCAUGCAGCUGAUCUAAAAAAAACAAACAUUUUAACUGUACUUGAGGUAUUUCAGAAGAUAGAAGUUUUCAUCCACCAACCGGGAAGACACGUCUCUGCAUUACCUAACUUUGACAAAAACAUUCUGUCCCAGCUAAAUUAUAAGCACUUAUGGCAAUGGAUGCAUUCCAGGCUGAAAGACUGGAGGGCUGUAGCAAUUUAAUCUGUUACCUGCCUGGUUAGUAAUGGGCCAGCUUUGAAGCUCUGUCAUAGAAUGCCUACAAACAAUGUUGGUGUAAAUAUUGUUUAGUUUAUUGUGUUAUGUACAGACAAAUAACGUCUAUACACUAAGUGUCCUUGUAUAUAAUGUUAGUAUUUUUUGCUUAAAUAAUUUGUAAUGAAUAUUCUUACUCCAUUUGCAGUUAUAAUAAACACC